rnacentral:ncRNA from 1 species
CUACAGACGAAGAAAGGGACAGUAAUUUCUUUUCAAUUAUGAUCAAGCGAGUCAGGGAUGGUGCAAGCCUGAUAUCAAAAAAGAAAUGAACAUCACCCUGGAGUUCCAUGUUGAACUUAUAGUAAACAAUGGCGUUUCAUUCGCGUUAAGAAUGUGAAAGAGGAUGAGCUGACUUUUUUCUAUCGUCAACGAAUCAAUUAGGGUGGUACCGCGGGAAACCUUCUCGCCCCUUCA